CCUACGGGUGGCUGCAGUGGGGAAUAUUGGACAAUGGGCGAAAGCCUGAUCCAGCCAUGCCGCGUGUGUGAAGAAGGCCUUCGGGUUGUAAAGCACUUUCAGUGGGGAAGAAAGCCUUGGGGCUAAUACCCUCGAGGAAGGACAUCACCCACAGAAGAAGCACCGGCUAACUCCGUGCCAGCAGCCGCGGUAAUACGGAGGGUGCGAGCGUUAAUCGGAAUUACUGGGCGUAAAGCGCGCGUAGGCGGUCUGAUAAGCCGGUUGUGAAAGCCCCGGGCUCAACCUGGGAACGGCAUCCGGAACUGUCAGGCUAGAGGGCAGGAGAGGAAGGUAGGAUUCCCGGUGUAGCGGUGAAAUGCGUAGAGAUCGGGAGGAAAACCAGUGGCGAAGGCGGCCUUCUGGACUGACACUGACGCUGAGGUGCGAAAGCGUGGGUAGCAAACAGGAUUAGAUACCCUUGUAGUUC
rnacentral:rRNA from 1 species